rnacentral:rRNA from 1 species
CAGCAGCCACGGUAAUACGUAGGUGGCAAGCGUUGUCCGGAAUUAUUGGGCGUAAAGGGCUCGCAGGCGGUUUCUUAAGUCUGAUGUGAAAGCCCCCGGCUCAACCGGGGAGGGUCAUUGGAAACUGGGAAACUUGAGUGCAGAAGAGGAGAGUGGAAUUCCACGCGUAGCGGUGAAAUGCGUAGAGAUGUGGAGGAACACCAGUGGCGAAGGCGACUCUCUGGUCUGUAACUGACGCUGAGGAGCGAAAGCGUGGGGAGCGAACAGGAUUAGAUACCCCGGUAGUCCCUGUCUCUUAACA